rnacentral:rRNA from 1 species
UCAAGCUAAUAAGAGCACAGGGUGGAUGCCCAGGCACCAAACGCCGAUGAAAGACGUGGCAAGCUGCGAAAAGUCACGGGGAACCGCAAGCAGGUAUUGAUCCGUGAACGUCUGAAUGGGGAAACCCGGCGGGUUAACAGCCCGUCACUAUUAACUGAAUCAAUAGGUUAAUAGAGGGAACGCGGGGAACUGAAACAUCUCAGUACCCGUAGGAAGAGAAAAUAAAGAAUGAUUUCCUAAGUAGCGGCGAGCGAACGGGAAAGAGGCCAAACCGAAGGGCUUGCUCUUCGGGGUUGUGGAUCAGCAAAAAGGACGGAAGACCUUAGCAGAAGAGGAUUGGAAAGUCCCGCCAGAGAGGGUAAAAGCCCCUUACGCGAAAAGGUCAAACGACGAGCUGACACCAGAGUACCGCAGGACACGAGAAAUCCGGUGGGAAGCCGGGAGGACCACCUCCCAAGCCUAAAUACGAAUUGGUGACCGAUAGCGCAUAGUACCGUGAGGGAAAGGUGAAAAGAACCCCGGGAGGGGAGUGAAAAAGAACCUGAAACCCUGUGUUUACAAGCAGUGAAAGUGCAAGUUAGGCACGAUCACGUACUUUUUGUAGAACGGACCGGCGAGUUACGUUAUGCAGCAAGGUUAAGAACUGAAGGUUCGGAGCCGAAGCGAAAGCGAGUCUGAACAGGGCGAUAGUUGCAUGACGUAGACCCGAAACCGGGUGACCUAUCCAUGAGCAGGUUGAAGUGGAGGUAAAGCUCCAUGGAGGACCGAACCAGACGUCUGUUGAAAAAGGCGGGGAUGACUUGUGGAUAGGGGAGAAAUUCCAAUCGAACCCGGAGAUAGCUGGUUCUCCUCGAAAUAGCUUUAGGGCUAGCCUCAUGGAUCAUUGAUGGGGGUAGAGCACUGAAUGUGCGCGGGGGCCACAAAGCCUACCAAACGCUAUCAAACUUCGAAUACCAUACAAUGCAAACCAUGGGAGUCAGUCCGCGAGAGAUAAGUUCCGCGGGCAAAAGGGGAACACCCCAGAUCAACCGCUAAGGUCCCCAAGUUCACGUUAAGUGGAGAAGGAUGUGGAAUUGCACAGACAACCAGGAUGUUGGCUCAGAAGCAGCCACACAUUUAAAGAGUGCGUAAUAGCUCACUGGUCGAGUGAUUGUGCGCCGAAGAUGUCCGGGGCUAAACGUGACACCGAAGCGAUGGGUGCAUCUGAAAGGAUGCGCGGUAGAGGAGCAAUGUGCAGAGGCAGAAGCCGUAUCGAGAGGCACGGUGGACACUGCACAAGAGAGAAUGCCGGUAUGAGUAGCGAGAGGCAUGCGAGAAACAUGCCCGUCGAAAGCCCAAGGUUUCCUGGGGAAGGUUCAUCCGCCCAGGGUAAGUCGGGGCCUAAGCCGAGGACGGAAGUCGUAGGCGAUGGACAGCAGGUGUAGAUUCCUGCACUACCGAUGGAAUGAAGCAGUGACACAGAAGGAUAACUCGAGCAGGGUGAUGGUCAACCCUGUGCAAGCAUCAAGGUUGGGUUGUAGUGAAGUACGCAACCCUACAAGCUGAGGUGUGAUGCGGACCGAAAUUUCAGUAGGGAAGCGAGUGAGUUCACGCUGGCGAGAAAAGCUGCUAGUACAUCCAAAGGUACCCGUACCGGAAACCGACGCAGGUGGGCGAGGAGAGAAUCCUGAGACGAACGGGAGAACCCUUGUUAAGGAACUCGGCAAAAUGACCCCGUAACUUCGGGAUAAGGGGUGCCUGCGAGAGCAGGCCGCAGAGAAUAGUCACAAGCGACUGUUUAGCAAAAACACAGGUAUCUGCGAAAGCGAGAGCUGACGUAUAGGUGCUGACACCUGCCCGGUGCUGGAAGGUUAAGGGAACAUGUUAGAGCAAUCGAAGCAUCGAACCGAAGCCCCAGUAAACGGCGGCCGUAACUAUAACGGUCCUAAGGUAGCGAAAUUCCUUGUCGGGUAAGUUCCGACCCG